rnacentral:rRNA from 1 species
UACGGGGGGGUAAGCGUUGUUCGGAAUUACUGGGCGUAAAGGGCUCGUAGGCGGCCAACUAAGUCAUACGUGAAAUCCCUCAGCUCAACUCGGGAACUGCGUCCGAUACUGGCGGGCUUGAAUCCGGGAGAGGGAUGCGGAAUUCCAGGUGUAGCGGUGAAAUGCGUAGAUAUCUGGAGGAACACCGGUGGCGAAGGCGGCAUCCUGGACCGGCAUUGACGCUGAGGCGCGAAAGCUAGGGGAGCAAACGGG